rnacentral:rRNA from 1 species
AGAGUUUGAUCAUGGCUCAGAACGAACGCUGGCGGCAGGCCUCAAACAUGCAAGUCUAGGGGGUGUAGCAAUACAUCACCGGCGGACGGGUGCGUAACGCGUGGGAAUGUACCUAUUGGUUCGGAACAACUGAGGGAAACUUCAGCUAAUACCGAAUGUGCCCGAAAGGGGAAAGAUUUAUCGCCAAUGGAUCAGCCCGCGUUCGAUUAGCUAGUUGGUGAGGUAAUGGCUCACCAAGGCGACGAUCGAUAGCUGUUCUGAGAGGAAGAUCAGCCACACUGGGACUGAGACACGGCCCAGACUCCUACGGGAGGCAGCAGUUGGGAAUCUUGGACAAUGGGGGAAACCCUGAUCCAGCCAUGCCGCGUGAGUGAUGAAGGCCUUCGGGUUGUAAAACUCUUUCGCGCACGACGAUAAUGACGGUAGUGCGAGAAGAAGCUCCGGCUAACUUCGUGCCAGCAGCCGCGGUAAUACGAAGGGGGCUAGCGUUGUUCGGAAUUACUGGGCGUAAAGCGCGCGCAGGCGGUCUUCCAAGUCAGUGGUGAAAGCCCGGAGCUCAACUCCGGAACUGCCAUUGAAACUGUUAGACUUGAGGACGAGAGAGGUGAGUGGAAUUCCCAGUGUAGAGGUGAAAUUCGUAGAUAUUGGGAAGAACACCGGUGGCGAAGGCGGCUCACUGGCUCGUUUCUGACGCUCAGGCGCGACAGCGUGGGGAUCAAACAGGAUUAGAUACCCUAGUAGUCC